rnacentral:rRNA from 1 species
AAACCAGCACCUCAAGUGGUCAGGAUGAUUAUUGGGCCUAAAGCAUCCGUAGCCUGCUCUGUAAGUUUUCGGUUAAAUCUGUAUGCUCAACAUACAGGCUGCCGGGAAUACUGCAGGACUAGGGAGUGGGAGAGGUAGACGGUACUCGGGAGGAAGUGGUAAAAUGCUUUGAUCUCUCGAUGACCACCUGUGGCGAAGGCGGUCUACCAGAACACGUCCGACGGUGAGGGAUGAAAGCUGGGGGAGCAAACCGGAUUAGAAACCCGAGUAGUCC